rnacentral:rRNA from 1 species
CCUACGGGCGGCAGCAGUGGGGAAUAUUGGACAAUGGGGGCAACCCUGAUCCAGCCAUGCCGCGUGUGUGAAGAAGGCCCUCGGGUUGUAAAGCACUUUCAGUGAGGAAGAACGCCUGGUGGUUAAUACCCAUCAGGAAAGACAUCACUCACAGAAGAAGCACCGGCUAACUCCGUGCCAGCAGCCGCGGUAAUACGGAGGGUGCGAGCGUUAAUCGGAAUUACUGGGCGUAAAGCGCGCGUAGGUGGCUUGAUAAGCCGGUUGUGAAAGCCCCGGGCUCAACCUGGGAACGGCAUCCGGAACUGUCAAGCUAGAGUGCAGGAGAGGAAGGUAGAAUUCCCGGUGUAGCGGUGAAAUGCGUAGAGAUCGGGAGGAAUACCAGUGGCGAAGGCGGCCUUCUGGACUGAAACUGACGCUGAGGUGCGAAAGCGUGGGUAGCAAACAGGAUUAGAUACCCUAGUAGUC